CUAAUUUUUUUUUUUUUUUUUAGAUUUCUUGAAGUUAUCUGCGUGUAUAGAAACCAUCUAAACAUUUUAACGGAUGGAUACGACAGUUCCUACCUUUUUAAAUUCUUACCUCUAAAUCAUUAAAAAAUAAAUGUGUAUCAGCGAGAUUAAAAAUCAUUUCCUCCAUUCGGAGUCCAAGAGUUACAGCCAUGGGGGGAUCCUGAAAAGGAAAAAUACACCCAAUGAGGUAAAAUUUCAGUGACCAGUUAUUAUCAAGACUAUUUUAAGUGCAUAUUGUUGUGGGUGGUGGGGUGCGUAGACUGUAUGGAUUUUUACCUAGGAUCCAAAAUAUUUCCCAAUUAUCUAAAAAGGGUACCUUUCCAAAGGAUAAUCCAAGCCACACUAAAUAUACAGCUACAUUUGUGAAUUUACAGAAAUUCAUACACACAUGAAGACAACUUAGAAUAUAUUUUCACGUACAUCUAUAUGUAUCUGAGGAGGAGGAAGGAAGCAAACUAGUUGAUAGGACCCAGUUUACACAUACUCCAUGGAGAGUCUUUCGGAGAAAGAUACCUGGAUGGGGUACUGAAGAAUGGAGCAGACUUGUACAGAAGAGGAAAGGACAUCCCUUUAAGAAUAACAGGUCAUAAGUAGGAAAGGGAGAAAAAUAGGACUUCCGGAUGUCUGUAGGGCUGGAGCAAACACUGUUGUCUGAAGGUGGGCCAGGAAGAGCGGGUGACCCAUGGUAAAACCACCCCUUAAAUAUCAAUUGUGUUUGAUCUACAAUAUAGAUCGAUAUUUCUUUGGAUAUGCAUAUGGUUUGGUCUAACCUGAAUCUGACUAGAGAUUAAGAGGGUAGGGUCAAGGAUAACUAAAGGAACAUUAACUCAGUAAAAGUAAUCUAAGUAGAAAAUAUAUACCUUUAGGAGUUUAAUGAGAGUAAAGGGUUAGUAAGAAGACAAGUGACUUAAUUCUUGUUUACAGAAACCAAGAUAUUACACAGCAGCAAGAAGCUCAGAGCCUAGACCACAGUUGGUACUUUCCCAUGAUUAACUAUAGUUUAAAGCCUAGCAUUGGAGGUGGAAGACUUUAAAAAGUAAGGAGAGUUUAGGGCUAGGGCUAGGGCAGUAAUUCAUGUACAAACAUUGUGCUUAGAGAAAGAAAGAAAGAAAGAAAGAAAGAAAGAAAUGAUCGAGGUUGCAAUGAUCUCUAAAGGAGAACUGCUAUAGGUUAGGUAUGACUCUGGAGACACAGAAAACAAAAUCCUGGAAGGGACAAAUCCUCAGAAUUUGAGGCCAGAAUGGGUAUUAACAGGGAGAAGAAUAUGGUUUCGAAUAAAGCUGACAAGUCUAGAAGGAUACUGUUGGUUUUGGCUGAGAAGUUAUUUUGGAAGACUUUAGAGGGUGAUUUGGGUUGAGUGGCUGGGCUAGGAGCCAGAUUGUAGGGAUUUGAGGAGAGAGAACCAAACUUGUGUUUUCAAUGUUCUAAUAAAUGGCAUUUCAAAAAAUGUAUUUAGACCUGGGGAAAUUAAUGCUAACUUGACUUCAAUUUAUGAUAAGGAUGAGCAACCCAAAAGGCCAAGCCGGAUUCAUAUACACCCCUAAACUUAGCAGAAGCCCUUUCUCUUUCCACUCCUCCUCUGCAACAACCAAUUGUCUGCCUAUACUCCCUUCCAUAAUGCUUUGAGGAGGAAACCCUAGAGUAAACAUAUUUGAAGUGAGUGUCAGCUUCAUAUAUUGUAGUGAUUAAAACCUAGAGAACAGGAACUGAGUCGUAAGAAACAAAGAGGUCACUGAGGUGUGCUGAGCAAAGCAGAGACCUGAGGUGGGAAAAGAUGAAGAGAGGGCGGUAAGAAUAUGCUGGAUGUCAACACAAUUUUCUAAUUGUUUGUAUCUCUUCCUUGGAGAGAAUCCAAAUCCUUGGAGAUUUCUGUGGAUUUCAUAGUUAGAUACUCUCCUCUCAAAAACAGAUGUUCACUCUUCACAUACUUGAUGGCAUUUGGGUAUUGCGUCCUCCAGUCAGUCGGAUUCGACUGCUAGAUUCAUUUGUCUUCCAGUGAUAGGAUUGUUUGGAAUGGCAUACCCAAACACCAAAUAAAUUCCAUUGGCUCCAACAAAUAUUCGUUCAAGAACAAAAACAGAUACAGGGAGUGCCCAGUUCGUGUCUCAAGGAGUUUCGGAACGCAGAAGGAUCUCUUGCUGUUCCCUUCAAGUAUAGAGUUCUUCCUUUUCCUUAUUUCUGUUGUGGUUGUUCAUGUUUUUUGUUGUUGAAAGAAAACCCCUGAAGGCUGAAUUGUUUUUCAAGCUAUAUAUUUGUCUUUUUCUGUUCAGAAAUUCCCAUUUCUAGUCUCCGACUCUCUUUUGGGGUAGGCUGAGGAUGGAAAACUUGUAAAUAUUCUGUCUAGUCAUGGGACCAUGAACAAAAAGUCUAUAGAAAUAUCAGGAAAAAUCAAAUGUAAUUAUAGCAUGAAAACAUAUAAUUCCAUUAGUGACGCUCUCUGCUUUUGAGGAAUGUUCACUGAUGCAAGACAAUAAAACUGAACUCCACACUACUCCAUUAUGUUUCUGAUGAUUACUGCCCUAAAGAUAUAUAUUUCAGAUGGGGAUUCAGAAAUGUCCUAUUUAAAAGACUUUCCUUCUGGAGACUCGGUUGGUUAAAUUCUUCUAUGAUUUGGCGAUUUUUCUUUUUUAAGUUUUAAAUGAAAUGACUGAAUUUCUUAUAUUCAUGUCUCACAUUCUUUGCACUUAUAGAUCAGAUUUAUGGGGCUGGGAGAAAACAUACUGUUCCUCUUUGAUUGCUACUUUCAUUGAUUCCACGCUUCUGAAGUACAUAACUCUCUACGCUACCCAUGGUAGGCAAAUCCAUGAAGAAUGCAUUUUGUGCAUCUGAUAAGCAUGCGAACACAAUUUUUAAGAAACCAACAAGAAUUCUCUAACAAGUAAGCAUACCGUAUGGUAUGAUGAAAACUUGAUUUGAGCACCCCACUGGAGGAAUGCAACCCCACGGCACGAGAAGGAGCUGUGCACUGGGUUUCAGGCUAUGGACGAUUCCACAUGACACUCUAGGGCCAGGACUUAGUAGGCAUUUUGGCAAAAUAUCAUUUGUUCGCUGGGAAAGUUUAGGUGUGAGAUUUGCUGGAGUGUGAACUCGCUGUAUUUUACUAAGGUUUCCAGAGAACAAGGCCUGUUGAAAGGGGGGGGGGGUAUUGCGUCAGCCAUGCCAAAGGCUUGGCGCAGAUGGGCGAGGGACAGUCAUGUCACGAGCCAAGGAAAACCAUGUCUGUAAGAAGUGUUGAUCUUGUUUCUAAGAGAAUGUUUAGUGAGGGCUUACUUUCAAAUAUCGAGCUUCCCACCCCCAUCCCCUGCAGCUUACUAAGUCACUGCAGAUUACAGGACCCCAUUUUUCCAGCUAAGGAGCUCCCAGACGUAAGAAUCCAGGAAAGAGGACCAGCGGUUUGGUGGAGGGAGCCUUAGCAGGAUCUUCGUAAUGGCGGGCACGCUCUGCUUUGCCAGACUACUGUGAAGGGGCUGCCAGAGCCAGAAAUUCCGUGGUUUUACCAGGCAUUUGAGAGUUAAACAUACUUCUGGACUGAACCCAAGUUUUAUACAGAGAUGUUUGCUCAUUUUCAUUAGAUGUUUGUGGAAUUAUGGGCACCUUAUGAAUCAAGAGUUACUGCCUCUUUUAAGUUUAACUGUAGUGCGUGCUGAGUUUAGGGUCUGAAAUGAAGUGAUGGGGAAAGCAGGAUA
rnacentral:lncRNA from 1 species